AUCUAAGCGUGAAGCCCCCCUCAAGAUGAGAUUUCCCAAUUAGUAAGACCCCUUGAAGACGACGAGGUAGAUAGGUUGGAGGUGGAAGUGCAGCAAUGCAUGGAGCUGACCAAUACUAAUCGGUCGAGGGCUUAUCCAA
rnacentral:rRNA from 1 species